UUCAGAGACCGUUUUGUGUUUUACUACAUUGUAUUCUCUCUUGGCACAUCAAAAGAUGGUAUUUCUUAGCCUUUUUGCAGGUAUACUAGAAGCCAGUUGCAUGAAGAUUCGCGUAAUAGGCCUUCCUUCACCUGCCUGCCGGCACCAGUUUUCCUCUGGCACCCGGGACCCAGGCCUUUGGUCCGGCUGCAGCGGAGAAGCCAAGCCUCUUCAAUCUUCAGUCCGGCCGGAGCCUUCAGUCUUCGCUCCGCGCCUACGUAUGCAAAUUAACCACCAUCUAUGUUGGGUUAACUUGCAUACUCAUCCUAUUGGCUGGUGAUGAUUGUGGAGACCACAGGAUAAAAUAGAAGAGUCCCAACAUGGGAACUACCUGGAUCCUUGAAUCACCCCAUGGAAGACAGGAAUAUCGUCUGUUCUGUUUUCAUG